GGGGACGUAAGAUUCGACAGGAAUUUGAAUAAAAAAUGCAAGUCGAGCUUCGAAUCUCGUAAAUCUUCGAAAAACCAUUAAGUGCCAAUAAUUUAUUUGCACCCGCAUUAGCUACUGCUUAAUGCCGUUUACCUUACUGAUUCUCGAUAGGUAAAAGUAGGCGUGAUAUUAUCGAGAUAGAUAAUUUUUCGGGAACUGGGAGAAUUAUCAAAAAUUAACAGAACAAAAAUCAGAAAAAUUUUGCCCAGUUUAAAUUUUCUGAGUUCAACCAAUUGGGCUAAGCUUGUAGAAUUAUUUUAGAAUAAUUUCUGGACAAGGGUUCGCCCCCUUCGUCUCCACAA
rnacentral:tmRNA from 1 species